GACGAACGCUGGCGGCGUGCUUAACACAUGCAAGUCGAACGCUGAAGCUCAGCUUUUGUUGGGUGGAUGAGUGGCGAACGGGUGAGUAACACGUGAGUAACCUGCCCCCUUCUUUGGGAUAACGCCCGGAAACGGGUGCUAAUACUGGAUAUUCACUGGUCUUCGCAUGGGGGUUGGUGGAAAGGGUUUUUCUGGUGGGGGAUGGGCUCGCGGCCUAUCAGCUUGUUGGUGGGGUGAUGGCCUACCAAGGCUUUGACGGGUAGCCGGCCUGAGAGGGUGACCGGUCACAUUGGGACUGAGAUACGGCCCAGACUCCUACGGGAGGCAGCAGUGGGGAAUAUUGCACAAUGGGCGCAAGCCUGAUGCAGCGACGCCGCGUGAGGGAUGGAGGCCUUCGGGUUGUGAACCUCUUUCGCUCAUGGUCAAGCCGCAACAAUGGUUGUGGUGAGGGUAGUGGGUAAAGAAGCGCCGGCCAACUACGUG
rnacentral:rRNA from 1 species